CGCGUCAUGACCGUCCCAACGCCUAAGCAGCUGAUGCUGCGACGCGGUGACACUCAAAGAAGGACAUGGUAAUUUCCAGAGUCUAACUUGCUUCUGAUGAACUAAGGGAAUGAGUGGACUCCCCAACAGCCUGAGAGGCUCCCCUGCACCUGCAAGGACUGCAACAGAGAAAUGAGAGAAGAUACCGGUUUCCACUGUGUUUAUUACUAAUAUAAAAAAAAGUUAAAAAGAAAAAAAAAUCAUUCUUAGUUCUCCAACAGCUCUCUCUCCUCUUGUGUGCACACCUCCUGACCCACUUCCGUAGGGCCUGUUCAAAACCCACCAUGUUCACUGCUGUUUUCACAGAAAACACGCAGUGCCGGGGAAGGAAGAGGGUCAGAGAUGACAGCACUGUUCAGGUUCCAUCCAAAGACAGGUGGAGUUUCACAAAGUCAAACCAAAGGGUCGGUGGCCUCACAAUGACAGAGCCGAACUAAAACGGGCCAGGCAGGAGCUGUUUGGGGAGGCCCGCCUGAGGCUUUCCAAGACACCACUGGCCAGUCAGACCCAGAAUGCCCGACACCAGGAGAGGGCACGAUGGGGAGGCAGUCUGAAGAAGUCUCACGUCCUCCCAUGUUGGGAGGUAGGUGAACUCCAGAGGGCACCAAGAGCCUCACUUGAUUUGGCAGAAAAACUUACUCUAGUGUUGGGAAGUCACACACACACACACACAAAAAAAAACCGCCACGGACACCGAGGAAGGCUACAAAGGGCGUACAGUUUCACAAAGCACAGUGACCACAGGCCUUAGCGGUGGGGUUCAUGCUACGGACAGAAACUAGGACGUCCAAAAGCAGGUAGAGGCCGUUCAAGGAGCAAGUCUAUACCAGUCACUCAAACUCGACCUCAAGGCCAGACAACCUGGUGCACUUCCUGGCAGCUGCAAACACUGGGGUUUUACGUGAAAGGACUUAAAACAAGCAGCUAGAGGAUAAGAGACUGCUCCAGGGCUCUUGGGAACUGAGGGCAAUACCGAGGGACAGGUGGACAAAUGCACAAGAAACAGCACCAAAGGUUUCCUGUUGAGCAGUCUUUUGGCAGAGGGGAAGAUCCAGGAGGCAGUGGAAAAGUAGCAAGAUGGGGUCCCGAAGGUCUCUACAGCCUGGAUCAGAAGACAGUGUGCACUGUGCACUAGUGACAAUCACAGCUCUGGACCUCAAAUAGGAGAGAUGAUGAAAGGGGUGGAUGUGUCAGUGCUUGAAGGUGACAGAAGAGCCUUCAAGUAGCUAAGAUGGAGCCACAGAGAGUGCAUGGCCACUAGGUCAGAGGGCUCCUUCCAGCCUGGGUGGGAAGGCACAGUCUCACAGAGGAGGUCCGUUGACGCCUGGAUGGUAGAAGGCACAAUGGUCUUCAUAUCGACAGUGGCCCUUCUUAGAAAAGUGUCGGCAGACAGGGCGGUCAGACUUGUCUGUGAAUAAGGGAAAACAGCAGCUUAAAACCUCGUAAGCCGGGCAGUGGUGGUGCACGCCUUUAAUCUCAGCACUUGGGAGGCAGAGGCUGGUAGAUCUCUGAGUUCAAGGCCAGCCUGGUCUACAGAGUGAGUUCCAGGACAGCCGGGCUACACAGAGAAACGCUGUCUCGAAAAUAAGAAAAAACCUAGUAAGAGCUGGGCGAGGUGGCUCACACCUGUGGCUCUAGCAUUCAGAA
rnacentral:lncRNA from 1 species